rnacentral:rRNA from 1 species
AUGAACGCUGGCGGCGUGCCUAAUACAUGCAAGUCGAGCGAACAGACGAGGAGCUUGCUCCUCUGACGUUAGCGGCGGACGGGUGAGUAACACGUGGAUAACCUACCUAUAAGACUGGGAUAACUUCGGGAACCGGAGCUAAUACCGGAUAAUAUAUUGAACCGCAUGGUUCAAUAGUGAAAGACGGUUUUGCUGUCACUUAUAGAUGGAUCCGCGCCGCAUUAGCUAGUUGGUAAGGUAACGGCUUACCAAGGCAACGAUGCGUAGCCGACCUGAGAGGGUGAUCGGCCACACUGGAACUGAGACACGGUCCAGACUCCUACGGGAGGCAGCAGUAGGGAAUCUUCCGCAAUGGGCGAAAGCUUGACGGAGCAACGCCGCGUGAGUGAUGAAGGUCUUCGGAUCGUAAAACUCUGUUAUUAGGGAAGAACAAAUGUGUAAGUAACUAUGCACGUCUUGACGGUACCUAAUCAGAAAGCCACGGCUAACUACGUG